rnacentral:tRNA from 1 species
AGGAGGUAGUUUAAUUAGAAUAUCAGCUUUGGGUGUUGAUGGUGGAGUUUGAGCUCUCCUCUUGA